AAUCAACGCUGGCGGCGUGCCUAACACAUGCAAGUCGAGCGAGAAAGGGGUAGCAAUAUCCCGAGUACAGCGGCGCACGGGUGAGUAACACGUGGGUAAUCUGCCCUAGAGUGGGGAAUAACACCGGGAAACCGGUGCUAAUACCGCAUACGAUCACGAUGUCUGCGGAUGUUGUGAUGAAAGGAGCAAUUCGCUCUAGGAGGACGCCCGCGGCUGAUUAGCUAGUUGGUGAGGUAAUGGCUCACCAAGGCUACGAUCAGUAUCCGGUCUGAGAGGACGGUCGGACACACUGGAACUGAGACACGGUCCAGACUCCUACGGGAGGCAGCA
rnacentral:rRNA from 1 species